rnacentral:rRNA from 1 species
GUACACAAAAAUGCACAUACUGUGAGCUCGAUGAGUAGGGCGGGACACGUGGUAUCCUGUCUGAAUAUGGGGGGACCAUCCUCCAAGGCUAAAUACUCCUGACUGACCGAUAGUGAACCAGUACCGUGAGGGAAAGGCGAAAAGAACCCCGGCGAGGGGAGUGAAAAAGAACCUGAAACCGUGUACGUACAAGCAGUGGGAGCCUCUUAAUGGGGUGACUGCGUACCUUUUGUAUAAUGGGUCAGCGACUUAUAUUCUGUAGCAAGGUUAACCGAAUAGGGGAGCCGAAGGGAAACCGAGUCUUAACUGGGCGUUAAGUUGCAGGGUAUAGACCCGAAACCCGGUGAUCUAGCCAUGGGCAGGUUGAAGGUUGGGUAACACUAACUGGAGGACCGAACCGACUAAUGUUGAAAAAUUAGCGGAUGACUUGUGGCUGGGGGUGAAAGGCCAAUCAAACCGGGAGAUAGCUGGUUCUCCCCGAAAGCUAUUUAGGUAGCGCCUCGUGAAUUCAUCUCCGGGGGUAGAGCACUGUUUCGGCAAGGGGGUCAUCCCGACUUACCAACCCGAUGCAAACUGCGAAUACCGGAGAAUGUUAUCACGGGAGACACACGGCGGGUGCUAACGUCCGUCGUGAAGAGGGAAACAACCCAGACCGCCAGCUAAGGUCCCAAAGUCAUGGUUAAGUGGGAAACGAUGUGGGAAGGCCCAGACAGCCAGGAUGUUGGCUUAGAAGCAGCCAUCAUUUAAAGAAAGCGUAAUAGCUCACUGGUCGAGUCGGCCUGCGCGGAAGAUGUAACGGGGCUAAACCAUGCACCGAAGCUGCGGCAGCGACGCUGAUGCGUUGUUGGGUAGGGGAGCGUUCUGUAAGCCUGUGAAGGUGGCCUGUGAGGGUUGCUGGAGGUAUCAGAAGUGCGAAUGCUGACAUAAGUAACGAUAAAGCGGGUGAAAAGCCCGCUCGCCGGAAGACCAAGGGUUCCUGUCCAACGUUAAUCGGGGCAGGGUGAGUCGACCCCUAAGGCGAGGCCGAAAGGCGUAGUCGAUGGGAAACAGGUUAAUAUUCCUGUACUUGGUGUUACUGCGAAGGGGGGACGGAGAAGGCUAUGUUGGCCGGGCGACGGUUGUCCCGGUUUAAGCGUGUAGGCUGGUUUUCCAGGCAAAUCCGGAAAAUCAAGGCUGAGGCGUGAUGACGAGGCACUA